UAAAUGUCUACAUGUAUCACCUUGCAUGGGCAUCAAAUCCUGUUCUACUCUUAAAUUUAAGUGAGAUUUGCUGAGGUUCAAAGCUGCAGUGGGAUGACUCAUUCCUCCACCAAGCAGAAAUACCACUAUUUUGUGGUGUCAGUACAGUGAUGUAGUUGAAGAGGAUACAUGACAGAGCAGGAGGCAGGAUCUAUUGCUCACACUUCAAGAUGUAAAUCAGUCAAAGAUAACUUCAGCCUGGAAGUGCCGCACAGACUGUCCUGAAAUGCCAACUGUCUGUCAAUGUCAUCCAUCAAGGGCAGAUCAAGGAUUCACUCUGACAGACAUAUAUGGCUUCAAAGUAACGUGCCUUACAGUUCAUAAACUGAAUUAAACUGUUAUAAAGUGAGACACUUAAGACCAAUGUGGAAUGUAAGGGACACUCAGGAUGAUUUUUAAAGCACAGAGAAAUACCAAGGAUGACUUCAUAAUCACUAGGUGGGCUGGUGCAAGGUACCUGGAGCAUUUACUCAACAACUGGCUGAGAAAGUGUUAAUACUCUGCUAUGCACAGAGACCUCAGCUGCACUCACUGAUGGCUGGGGUUGUCAGUCCAGCAGCCCUGGUGACUUGGGAAAUGUCGUCUGUGUUGUAAGGAGGAACUCUUCAGCUACAAAGAAAAGAAAUGACUGGGUGAAGAGAGAUACCGUGGAGAGGAAGGGAGACACUUGUGCUCUUGGAGCUAUUGUACAUGCCACUAGGAGAGAAGUUUCUAGAGCACAAGGGCAGACAGGAAGGGGAGCCCAGCGACAGGAGAGUUUGCAGCACAGUGGAGAUCACUGAGAAUGAGGAACAGACAACCUGCCAAAAGUGCAAGCUGACUAAGAGACUUUUCCUGGGGCUUGGAAGACCAUGCAGUCUGCCAAAAUCCAGAAAGUGACUGAGUUGGAUUUAAGCCAAGCCCUCCAAAAAAGAUUUAUCCACCAAGAACAAGAUGUCCACCUGUCCUGAAACGAGGAGGCCACAGGCACCCUGGGAAGGCUAGCGGUCCUUCAGGGCCCCACCUGGCAGAACACGAAGUGCAUGUGAAGGACUGAAGCUGCUGCAAGCAGCCGGGCUGAUAUCAGCCUCUCCCCUGCCUUGGGGAGCACCUUCAUCCUGAGCUGCCCCUCGGAAGAGCCCAGCAUGGAGUAAGUGUCCUCACUGCAUGUCUGCUGGAAGAUCCAGGGUUGUUUUGGUGCUAUGUGAAGGCAAGAAAGCAGGUAUGUGGUUGCGUGACUGCGUGACAUUGCCACCAGCUCUUCAGCGGCACUGUGAGGAUGCCAGAGCUGAAGAGUUAAAAGCUUAAGUUUCAAAAUUCAGAGUGACCCUAUUUAUCAACAGAAGAAUGGGCUUGUUGUGGCUCAUGCGGCUUUUCAGGAUUGCCCUGAGCUAUAUGAGACCUUGAGGCUACACUCUUCAAAGCUCUGGAUUUUGAUUUACUCCAAAGGAAAGUAAACGAGCUUCAGAAGCUGACGCCCUCUGCCGGCACACGGCGGCACCUGCCGGGGCCAGCGGGGCCGGGAGCGCUGCCCGCAGGGAGCAGCCGGGCGGAGGCGGCUCUCGGCCGCCUGUGCUGCCUGAGGCACGGCUCGGCG